rnacentral:snoRNA from 1 species
UUGUCCUGGCCUAUGCUUUUUAUGCUCUGAUGUGCUCAGUUCUAACAGGGUGGACUGGCAGCACACACAGCAAUCUCCUUCUCAGUUUAGGAGGGCAGUCCUAAGAAUAGGACUGGCUCUUAAAGGCAUGAGUGGACAAU